rnacentral:rRNA from 1 species
UACGGGGGGGCAAGCGUUGUUCGGAAUUACUGGGCGUAAAGGGCUCGUAGGUGGCCAACUAAGUCAGACGUGAAAUCCCUCGGCUUAACCGGGGAACUGCGUCUGAUACUGGAUGGCUUGAGAUUGGGAGAGGGAUGCGGAAUUCCAGGUGUAGCGGUGAAAUGCGUAGAUAUCUGGAGGAACAUCGGUGGCGAAGGCGGCAUCCUGGACCAAUAUUGACGCUGAGGAGCGAAAAGCCAGGGGAGCAAACGGGG